GUGUGCCAAUUUAAAUACGCUAAUAAGUUCACAGAUAUGUCAGAUGGGAGCGACGGCACUAGACGUGUAUCAAACGUGACAAACUAAGCUAACCAAAUCAUCAGUUUCCUCAAUGAGUGAUACGGAACAACUUGACGCGGACACUCCCGUCCCCGAAGACGCGUGGCCCGAAAAUGGCGGCGCGUGGAGCGAUGGAGAGGGGGACGCGAUGGAGUCUGGCCUCUUGCAGGAAAUGGUCGAGGAAGACGAGUCAAUCGAUCUGUUCAACGAAGAGACAUUUGGAGCAGAAGCAGAGAUGGGGGGAGGGGACGUUCUUGGCCGAUCCAUC